rnacentral:rRNA from 1 species
UUGGGAAUCUUGCACAAUGGGGGAAACCCUGAUGCAGCGACGCCGCGUGAAGGAUGAAGGAUCUAGGUCUGUAAACUUCUUUUAUUGGGAAAGACUUAGGACGGUACCCAAUGAAUAAGGACCGGCUAACUACGUGCCAGCAGCCGCGGUAAGACGUAGGGUCCAAGCGUUGUCCGGAUUUACUGGGCGUAAAGAGCGCGUAGGCGGUCUGUUAAGUGUAGAGUGAAAUCUCCAGGGCUCAACCCGGAAACUGCUCUGCAUACUGGCAGACUUGAGGAAUGCAGAGGUUUGUGGAAUUCCUGGUGUAGCGGUGAAAUGCGUUGAUAUCAGGAGGAACACCCAUGGCGAAGGCAGCAAACUGGGCAUUAUCUGACGCUGAGGCGCGAAAGCGUGGGUAGCAAACAG